AUUGAACGCUGGCGGCAGGCCUAACACAUGCGAGUCGAGCGGAUGAAGGGAGCUUGCUCCUGGAUUCAGCGGCGGACGGGUGAGUAAUGCCUAGGAAUCUGCCUGGUAGUGGGGGAUAACGUCCGGAAACGGGCGCUAAUACCGCAUACGUCCUGAGGGAGAAAGUGGGGGAUCUUCGGACCUCACGCUAUCAGAUGAGCCUAGGUCGGAUUAGCUAGUUGGUGGGAUAAAGGCCUACCAAGGCGACGAUCCGUAACUGGUCUGAGAGGAUGAUCAGUCACACUGGAACUGAGACACGGUCCAGACUCCUACGGGAGGCAGCAGUGGGGAAUAUUGGACAAUGGGCGAAAGCCUGAUCCAGCCAUGCCGCGUGUGUGAAGAAGGUCUUCGGAUUGUAAAGCACUUUAAGUUGGGAGGAAGGGCAGUAAGUUAAUACCUUGCUGUUUUGACGUUACCAACAGAAUAAGCACCGGCUAACUUCGUG
rnacentral:rRNA from 1 species